UGUGAAAGUAAAAACGCGUGUCAUGUCUAUGUGGACCAAUAUAAAAGAGUCAUCCCCCCUUUGUGUGUCUCUUCGAGUUUCUAGUACUAAGUAGCACUUCUACUAUUCAAUCAUCUUCUCAUUGAAUGAACUCCAUGGCUUCACAAAUGAAGAUGUUACAAGGUAAAUGUUUGUGUGUAGGGGACCAAUAUAAAAGAGUCAUCCCCCCUUUGUGUGUCUCUUCGAGUUUCUAGUACUAAGUAGCACUUCUACUAUUCAAUCAUCUUCUCAUUGAAUGAACUCCAUGGCUUCACAAAUGAAGAUGUUACAAGGUAAAUGUUUGUGUGUAGG
rnacentral:misc_RNA from 1 species